UAGGGAAUCUUCCACAAUGGACGCAAGUCUGAUGGAGCAACGCCGCGUGAGUGAAGAAGGUUUUCGGACCGUAAAGCUCUGUUGUUGGUGAAGAAGGAUAGAGGUAGUAACUGGCCUUUAUUUGACGGUAAUCAACCAGAAAGUCACGGCUAACUACGUGCCAGCAGCCGCGGUAAUACGUAGGUGGCAAGCGUUGUCCGGAUUAU
rnacentral:rRNA from 1 species